UAACGGUUAACAACAUACCUGCAACGGACGAGGAGCUGGGCGUAAUCCCUGCAACGGCACUCGUUAACGUUAUUUUCAGCAUUCGUGUGCUUGGAACACUCAUUUGGAUACAGCGAGAGACGAGGCCCUAGAAUGCGCUGCUGGUGUGCUGACAGUUGUCAGUGAAGAUAGUCCUCAUGAGGGUCCAAGUUUAGUAGACCUCCAGCCCAUCUCCACUGCCAUCGUUCUGGAGGGAGUAUUUAGGUGCCUGCAGCUGUCACUGAAAGACUUGCUGUUGGCCACUGAUUUUGUUGUACAACAUCCUGGUUGUCGUUGCUUUCAACACUUUUGUGCUGAGGACGGCUGUGUAUCCAUCAUGCAACCAGAGCAAAUUGUACAAACCGAGCAAAUUUCCCCAGGGGAUCUGGUCCGUAAAAUAGACGCAACAGAGGUUCCCCUGCACACUAAGCCAGUGUAGCAGAAGCAUGAGGGCCCCAGCAAGGGUAGACACAGCUUGUAUUAGUAGGUACCCAGGAACCUUCAUAUCCCACAAAAGUUGACUGUGCAUGCGCUACACUGGUCAAAGGAGGAAGGAACCAACACCUGCAUCAAGUGUGGAAAAUAGAUUUACAAAGUUUGUACAUUCCUCUGGAGUGAACUGAAGUCACACACCCACAUGUAUGUACUGCAUAUGCAUGUUUGUGCACACACUUUGAAAUGUUGUUUACAAAAAAUAAAAUGUUACUGUUGCCCUACUGUGGUCAUGGAGGCGAGUGGGUUCAUAGUGAUCU